UGUGACAUGAUGGAACUAAUAAUCUUAAUAUGAUAUAUUAGGGUGAAAUAUGAACUUAUGUGACAUUAUAUGUGAAAGGUGGAUUAUGUGAUUUGAAGUAUGAUUUUGUGGCUUGAUGCGGAAAAUGAGGAUACGCUACAAAUAGGAAAUGACGUAAUGCCAUGAAAUGACAUAAGAGAAACCAUGGCGCUUCAGGAGUAAGAAAAUCUGAUGGAAUUUCGAGGACGAAAUUCUAUUUAGGGGGGAUGAGUUGUAAUGCCCCAAAACCCACCUUAGACGGAAAAGUGAAUUUCCGGUGCUGUAAAUCGCCGAAAUUAGGGUUUUCGGCGAAUAAAUUGAAAUAAAUAACAAAAUAAAUUCUGAUAAUUCAAUAAAUCAUGGGAUACCGAAAUAUAAGUCAUAAUAAGUGUUAGAAAGGAUACGUGAGCAAAGAAUUGAGUUUUAAUGAGUUUUAGUACGUUUUUUUUAGAAAAGUCACCGAUUAGGGUUUUUCGGCGAAUUUGCCGAGAAAUAUUAGGAAUUUCCAUUGGAAGAUAAUUUAUAUGGAAUCUAGAGAUCAAAAUAAGUAUAAUGUGAGUAAGAUUGAGCAAGAAAUUAGAAUUAAAUCGGUGCUCGUAUAGAAAACGCGACAGGAGGGCAAAAUGGUCAUAUCAUAUAAAAAAUACACCAAAUCUUGUAAAAAGUAAAAUGAUUAAUUAUUUCAGAUAUGUAAUUGGUAUUACACGUCCAUCAAGUGGAGGAAAUAUGAAGAAAAUUCUAGACUUGGUUAAUUAAUUAGAAUGGUGCCACUUGUACACCUUAUCUUCCAUAAAAUUUAAUAAUGAAUUUUAGACUUAUAUAAACUACAAAUAAUAUUAUUCAUCUUCCUUCUACUUGAAAACUCUCGGCUCUCUCCCUCUUUGAAAUACAAGAAAAUUUUCUCUUCCAUUCUUGAUCAUGUCUUGAAAAGAAUUAAAGGAAAAUCAAGUGUAAAUGAUAAAGUUAAGCUACACCCAAAUGUUAGCAAAUGAAAGGAAAAAGGAUCGGCGAAAGAAGAAAUGUCGAAUGGAAAGGUUUGGAAACAACGUCAUCCAGAUGUAGUUUAUGACAUAUGUGAAGUUUUGUAUUAUUAUACCCCUCUGAUGACAUAGUUUGGAAAUUUGAAGUCGUGGACGGAGAUUUGACUACUGGUACGGGUUAAUUGGAUCAGGGAUUUCUUUGGAUAUUUCUUUCGUUUCUUUGCCAGCACUGCAUCCACGGUGGGUCACUAAUCACUGCUUGCGGCGUUUGUGUCCAUUUAUGUUAGAUGUGGCAUGUAUAGUAUUUGAACAUUUGCAAUAGCUUCCGCUGUGUUUGUAAAUAGUGUUGGAACUUUUGCUGAUAGGUUAAUGAAUUAAGUUUGGUUUUUAA